rnacentral:lncRNA from 1 species
UUUCAAGCCCAGCUUGGUAGUUUUAGCCUAUAUUCUUGGUACUUAGGAGGUAGAGGCCAGAUGAUCUGGACUUCAAGGUCAGCUUCCAAUACAAAAUGAAUUUGAGACAAGCCAGAACUACACGAGAUCUGUGUCAAGCACCCACACACACCAAAAAGAAAGGGAAAGAUUUUAUAAAAAGUUGUCUUAAGAUUUAUUUAUUUUAUGCAUAUGGGUAUAACAUAGCUGUCUUCAGACACACCAGAAGAGGGCAUUACAUUCCACUACAGAUGGUUGUAAGCCACCAUGUGGUUGCUGGGAUUUGAACUCAGGACCUCUGGAAGAGCAGUCAGUGCUCUUAACCUCUGAGCCAUCUCUCCAGCCCCAAAAGUUGUCUUAAGAUCAGGAAAUAUACCUUUGAUUUAGCUCUCCUCUGGUCUUAGUUCCACUUUGCUUCCCUGCCCUUAUCUAGAGUGUAUGGUAAUUCUGCAGAGAGUUCUUAGGUUGAGGACUCAGAGAUCCUAUUGUUAGCUGUACCUCUAAUAGUCAGAGGUAUUUCAUGGGGCACUUGACAUUUGCUCCUUUAUUCCAAGGAAGUAUUCUUACAGCCACUUAUCAGAGGGAAAACAAUGUUUAGUUUUGUUUUCGAGUCAGUCUCAUUAUGUAGCCCUGGCUAUAUAGACUAAGCUGACCGCAAAUUCACAGAGAUCUCCUAUGUCUGCCUUUCAAGUACUGGGAUUAAAGGUAUGUGCUAUUGUGCCUAGCUGAUAUGUUGAUA